GGGGACGUGGUGAAAUGGUAAACACUGACGACUUAAAAUCGUCCGGCUUCGGCCUUGCGGGUUCAAGUCCCGCCGUCCCCA
rfam:Phaeospirillum molischianum DSM 120, WGS project CAHP01000000 data, contig: DSM120_global_c4-2373